GCCUGGGUGGCUCAGUCGGUUAAGCAUCUGACUUCGGCUCAGGUCAUGAUCUCGCAGUUUGUGAGUUCGAGCCCCACUUCGGGCU
rnacentral:tRNA from 1 species